ensembl:snRNA
ACCAUCCUUUUCUUGGGGUUGCGCUACUGUCCAAUGAGCGCAAAGUGAGGGCAGUACUGCUAACGCCUAAACAACACGCUCGCAUCAACUAAAGCUUUGCUUUAUCUUGGUGCAAUUUUUGGAAAA